rnacentral:tRNA from 1 species
ACUUUCGUCGGUAUUAAUAUAAAGUGUUAGAUUCUUACUCUAAAAAUGUUGGUUUAACUAUGACUA